rnacentral:rRNA from 1 species
AUGAUCUCCGUUAGCCAUGGCGACCUCUAUCCUUUUGUCGGCAAUAAACCAGCUCGGGCGUCUGCACUCCUCGCCACCACUACUUCGGAUCUGUGGCAUCGUUGCCUCGGCCACCCCGGCGCUCAAACACUAGCCUCUAUUUCCAAAGAUUUCCUUAGUGAAUGUAAUAAGGCACCCCACUCUCCUUGUAGUGCCUGCCAACUAGGCCGCCAGCCACGCCUACCCUUCCCCUCCUCUCUUAGCAAGACUUAUGCUCCUUUUGAUUUAAUACACUGUGACUUGUGGACCUCUCCCGUUAUAAGUUUGUCUGGAUUUCAUUAUUAUCUUGUUGUGUUGGAUGAUUUUACACAUUUUUCAUGGACGUUUCCUCUCCGCAACAAAUCCGACACCUCUACCGUUCUUCAACGUUUUUUCACCUUUGUUCACACACAAUUUCACACGGUUAUCAAAAGCAUGCAAUGUGAUAACGGCGGCGAGUUCAUCAACACCUCUCUUCGCACCUUCUUCUCCACAAAUGGCAUCUCAUAUCGCUUCUCUUGCCCACACACGUCCCCCCAAAACGGCAAGGCCGAACGCAUGAUUCAUACGACCAAUGACAUAGUACGCACCCUCCUCCUACAAGCCAAUUUACCUCCUCCCUUUUGGGUUGAGGCGCUUCGCAUCGCCACCUAUCUGCUCAACCGGCGGCCAUCCCGUGCUAUCUCCCCUCACACACCUCAUCUUCUCUUUCAGGGUGUACCCCCCACCUAUGAUCAUCUUCGCGUUUCGGUUGCCUAUGCUUUCUGA